rnacentral:tRNA from 1 species
GGCAGUGUAGUAGAAUGGGUAAGGAACUGGGCUUGUAACCUACAGGUCACAGGUUCGAUUCCUGGGAAGGACA